UAUGCUAAGAACCCCCAACUUAAGAAUCUUUCAAUAAACAUGCUCUUGUAGCUACUAGUAGUCCACAUUCAUACCUUAACUGUUAAAAUUAUAUAUUCAUUUACAUUAGUCUAGCCAUAACUUUGACUUAUAAGUACGUUUUGUAAAAUAACGAAACAUAAAUUUCCUAUAUGACGGACCAAAAUGUAUUGACUUGUUAAAUAGCAUUUGAUAUCUGACAAUUAGAUGAUAAAUCUAAAUGCGGUAACAUUUAAUGCGAUAGUGUUACGAUUUGGUCUAAAUGUGGCAGAAAGAAGUAAUGUAAAAGUCUUUUUGAAUUUUUGAUUCUGAUAGCGAUUCAAGUCACGUUAGCUUCGCUCAUAAGACUUUGUCAAGAAAACUGACAAUGACAUCUAGAAGUAUUAUACGUGUAUUCUACAUCUACGUAUAUGCACCCAUGUGAAUCGUAUUUCUUAUAGCAGGUGCCAAAUC
rnacentral:lncRNA from 1 species